AUAUUCUCUCUCUCUCUCUCUCUCUUUUUUUUAAAAGAGAGAGUGAGAGUGAGAGAGAGAGUGAGAGAGAGAAUAU
rnacentral:miRNA from 1 species